UACGUAGGGGGCUAGCGUUGUCCGGAAUCAUUGGGCGUAAAGCGCGUGUAGGCGGUCCGAUAAGUCCGCUGUGAAAGUCGGGGGCUCAACCCUCGGAUGCCGGUGGAUACUGUCGGGCUUGAGUACGGAAGAGGCGAGUGGAAUUCCUGGUGUAGCGGUGAAAUGCGCAGAUAUCAGGAGGAACACCAAUUGCGAAGGCAGCUCGCUGGGACGUAACUGACACUGAGGCGCGAAAGCGUGGGGAGCGAACAGG
rnacentral:rRNA from 1 species